GGCCGCGGGAAUUCGAUUCAGGCCUAACACAUGCAAGUCGAGCGAGAUGUUUCUCAGUAGAUUCUUCGGAUGAUACAGAGUUACGGAAAGCGGCGGACGGGUGAGUAACGCGUAGGCAACCUGCCCCUUGCAGAGGGAUAGCCUCGGGAAACCGGGAUUAAAACCUCAUAAUGCGGCACUGAGACAUCUCAGAGCCGCCAAAGAUUUAUCGGCAAGGGAUGGGCCUGCGUCUGAUUAGUUAGUUGGUGGGGUAACGGCCUACCAAGGCGACGAUCAGUAGCCGACCUGAGAGGGUGAUCGGCCACAUUGGAACUGAGACACGGUCCAAACUCCUACGGGAGGCAGCAGUGGAGAAUCUUGCACAAGUGGGCGAAAGCCUGAUGCAGCAACGCCGCGG
rnacentral:rRNA from 1 species